rnacentral:tRNA from 2 species
GGAUUGUAGCUCAGUGGAGAGCACUUGCCUGGCAUGUGUGAGGUACUGAGUUCAAUACUCAGCACCA